rnacentral:rRNA from 1 species
UACAGAGGGUGCAAGCGUUGUUCGGAAUUACUGGGCGUAAAGCGCACGUAGGCGGCUUUGUAAGUUAGAGGUGAAAGCCCAGGGCUUAACCCUGGAAUUGCCUUUAAGACUGCAUCGCUAGAAUUGUGGAGAGGUAAGUGGAAUUCCGAGUGUAGAGGUGAAAUUCGUAGAUAUUCGGAAGAACACCAGUGGCGAAGGCGACUUACUGGACACAUAUUGACGCUGAGGUGCGAAAGCGUGGGGAGCAAACAGG